rnacentral:rRNA from 1 species
GACGAACGCUGGCGGCGUGCUUAACACAUGCAAGUCGAACGAUGAACCAGGGCUUGCCCUGGGGAUUAGUGGCGAACGGGUGAGUAACACGUGGGCAACCUGCCCCAGACACCGGGAUAACCUCUCGAAAGAGUGGCUAAUACCGGAUACGACCACUUUGGGCAUCCAACGGUGGUGGAAAGGAUUCUGGUCUGGGAUGGGCCCGCGGCCUAUCAGCUUGGUGGUGGGGUAAUGGCCUACCAAGGCGACGACGGGUAGCCGGCCUGAGAGGGCGACCGGCCACACUGGGACUGAGAUACGGCCCAGACUCCUACGGGAGGCAGCAGUGGGGAAUAUUGCGCAAUGGGCGAAAGCCUGACGCAGCGACGCCGCGUGAGGGACGAAGGUCUUCGGAUUGUAAACCUCUUUCAGCAGGGACGAAGCGAAAGUGACUGUACCUGCAGAAGAAGCACCGGCUAACUACGUGCCAGCAGCCGCAGUAACAC